rnacentral:tRNA from 1 species
GGUUCCACAGUGUAGCAGUUAGUAUGUCUGCUUUACACACAGAAGGUCCUGGGUUCCUGUCCCAGUGGAGCCA